GACGAACGCUGGCGGCGUGCUUAACACAUGCAAGUCGAACGAUGAAGAAAAGAGUUGAAGCUUCGGCAGAAAUCCAUUUCGGAUUAGUGGCAGACGGGUGAGUAACGCGUGAGCAACCUACCUCUUACAAAGGGAUAGCCUCGGGAAACCGGGAUACAUACCAUAUAACAUUGCGACGAAGCAUUUCGAUGCAAUCAAAGCUACGGCGGUAAGAGAUGGGCUCGCGUCCCAUUAACCAGAUGGUGAGGUAACGGCUCACCAUAGUAACGAUGGGUAACCGGCCUGAGAGGGUGAACGGUCACACUGGAACUGGGACACGGUCCAGACUCCUACGGGAGGCAGCAGUGGGGAAUAUUGCACAAUGGCGGGAACUAUGAUGCAGCGACGCCGCGUGAGUGAUGAAGGAAUUCGUUUCGUAAAACUCUGUUCUAUGGGAAGAAAAGGACUGUACCAUAGGAGAAAGCUCCGGCUAACUACGUG
rnacentral:rRNA from 1 species